UACGGAAGGCAGCAGUGGGGAAUAUUGCACAAUGGGCGCAAGCCUGAUGCAGCCAUGCCGCGUGUAUGAAAAAGGCCUUCGGGUUGUAAAGUACUUUCAGUCGUGAGGAAGGUGUUAAGGUUAAUAACCUUAGCAAUUGACGUUAGCGACAGAAGAAGCACCGGCUAACUCCGUGCCAGCAGCCGCGGUAAUACGGAGGGUGCGAGCGUUAAUCGGAAUUACUGGGCGUAAAGGGCACGCAGGCGGUUAAUUAAGUUGGAUGUGAAAUCCCCGGGCUUAACCUGGGAAUGGCAUUCAAGACUGGUUAGCUAGAGUCUUGUAGAGGGGGUAGAAUUCCAUGUGUAGCGGUGAAAUGCGUAGAGAUGUGGAGGAAUACCGGUGGCGAAGGCGGCCCCUGGACAAAGACUGACGCUCAUGUGCGAAAGCGUGGGGAGCGAAACAGGGAU
rnacentral:rRNA from 1 species